rnacentral:rRNA from 1 species
AUGUCGUGGCAGACUUACGUGGACGAGCACCUGAUGUGCGACAUCGAGGGCCACCACCUCGCCUCCGCCGCCAUCCUCGGCCACGACGGCACCGUCUGGGCCCAGAGCGCCGACUUCCCGUCGUUCAAGCCGGAGGAGAUGACCAACAUCAUGAAGGACUUCGACGAGCCGGGGACCCUCGCCCCGACCGGGCUGCUACUCGGAGCCGCCAAGUACAUGGUCAUCCAGGGUGAACCUGGCGCCGUCAUCCGCGGCAAGAAGGGCGCGGGAGGCAUCACCCUGAAGAAGACCGGGCAGGCGCUGGUGGUCGGCAUCUACGACGAGCCCAUGACCCCGGGGCAGUGCAACCUGGUGGUGGAGAGGCUGGGCGACUACCUGGUAGAGCAGGGCAUGUAG